UGUCAUUUGAAACAAUUGUGAGAAAGAAUUUAGUAGGUUUGGAAUGUAGUUUUUAAAUUUAAGUGAAAUUUGAUCAGAUAUAUGUGAUUCUCUGUGCCAAGCUGGCAUUAUCACAAGUGUAAAAAAAAUCACAACCAGUUUGACGACUGCUUUCAAAGUUAACCUCAAAGAAACCUGUUCUCAGUGAAGAAAAAUCCCCGCGUUAGCAACAGAGAAUAACUGCGGUGUGUGCUAUACGAAUCAAGCUUAAUUAAAUAUGAUUAAGCUCAAUUCCGCGUUCCAUUGGACACGUCUUCAAUUGCUCAUGUUAAAAAAAGUGAUAUGAAAAAGUGAAAAGUGUACUUACGUAAACGUGUCUAUCAGAUCCUUGAUUUUCUUCUCGACGGAAGCCGUAUUAACCAGAUAGGUUUCAUCGGCCGGAAGCUCGUAGAUGACCCCCUUCGCUCCGAAUCGAUCGGCCGCAUCCACCUGAUUGCGGUAAUCCUGGGCGUCAAGCUUUACCAGCGGUCCCUCCUGCCACCAGGUCAACGGAACCGGGGCAGCACAUUUCGGUGCAUCCAUUAUAAUAUAGAUUGCACCAGCCAGCAUCGCGAUCCAGAGUCCCCAGAACAGGAUGAAAAGGAACCAACGUAGCCGAAUCCAGAACGGAUCGUUGGCAAACUUCAUCAGCUCUUCCUUGCUCAUGCCGGAGAACGUUUGCUGCGAAAAGAGGUAGGCCGUUUAAUAUUGAGUGCCAUUUUACUGGAAGUUUUUAAGUGACCGUUUUUUCAAACUGCAAAACAAACAAUUAGCACCAAAACGCUAAUUGUUGUCGCCUGACCGUUAACUCACCUGCUGUUCCACCUCCAGAUCGAUCCGGGCGUCGCCAUUCUGCUCGGAGAUGAAUUUUACUUCCACCUCCUUCUGGGCCAGUUUGUCCUUCUCGGUGGUGGCUGCAUCGCCAGCACCGUUCCCGUUCAGCAUUCGUUCGUCUUCGCCAUCCUUGUAGUUGCCGUUUUCACGGACCAUUGUGGAACCUGUGAGGUGCACAGAAAAAUGGAAUUUUUGAGCUUAGAUUUCGAGAUAAAGGAGCGGAGCAAGUUGUACUGCAGCGUCUGAGUGCUCGAGAGCAAAUGCGAUGAGAGGUUUCGAAUAAGAUAGUAGUGGAGCCGCUGGAGAGUUGCCUUUUUCGGAUGUUCUUUUGUUGGAUGAAAGCGCCAGUUGGAAGGAAAAAUUGAAAGAGGUUAUCGUAUCGGAGGACAUUACUUCAUUUCGUCACUAAUCUAUUGAGGCAAGCAAAAUGCAGUGGAAACCAGCGAAAGACGGCCUUCGAUCUGAGUUUAUUUGCUUAAGCGCUACAUUCGGAAUGUGUCUGCUGCCGAAAGUCGGUCUGGAGUCAUGCCAGGUUGGAAGUUUCCGGAAGAGAACUCGGACAGGUUGACCGGUUCGACGAGGAAGAGGAAUUCCUGCCGUAUAACCGAUGGUUGGUGGAGGAGGAAGAGAGAGAACGGUUGGAGGAACUCGGACCUAUCGCAGAACCAGUUGGAAGGCCUGCCGGAGGAACUCGGACCGGUCACAGAACCGACUGGAGGCCUGCCGGAUGAUAUAUAUAUGGUUCUAUUUUUCCAGCGCUGCAUACGGAAUGUGACUGCUGCCGAAAGUCGGUCUGGAAUCUGGCCUGGUUGAACGUUUCCGGAAGAGAUAGUUGGAGGAACUCGGACCGAUCGCAGAACCAGUUGGAAGGCCUGCCGGAGGAACUCGGACCGGUCGCAGAACCGACUGGAGGCCUGCCGGAUAAUAUGACCCAUCAAAAAUUCGGAAUGAGGAACGUAAAAUUCGGAUAAAAUUAUAAUAACUCUAUUGUCAAAAUAAAUUGAAAUUUUAUUCGCAUUUAUUUUAUU